CAAAAUUGUAAUUUAUGAGUGACUCAAGUUUUGGGCAUGCGACAUUGAACUUGUAAAUGGUAGUGUUUCUUCCUGUGAUACGUUUAGGGUUGCUUUGGGUGUUUGUUAUGGUGAUAUCGGUAAGGUGGUGGUGCUGGCGAUUGUGGUGAAAUUUACUAGUGCUAGUGCUAGUAAUGGUGGCGCUAGCAGAGGUGGUACAGGCAUGUCAACGUUGGCGACAGUGGAGCAGGUAGUGAUGGUGCUGACAGUGGUGCUAGCAGUGGUGGUCCGUUGGUGAAUUUCGUUUGUGUUUGGGUUUGGGGUGAAAUGGGAUGAAGAGUGUUUAUGACUGAUUAUUUUGAUGAUUGUGAUUAAUAAAUUAGUUAAUUUGUGACCAUUAAAUAAUAAUGUGUUGUAGAUGCGGUUGUGCAUUGCGUUAUCAUUCUGUAAUAUGGGAUGGUGGUGUAUUGUGGGUGCGAUGUGUGGUUGUGCAUUAUGCGAUGGUGGUAUGGAGGCUCGCGGGUACUGUGGUAAUACUGACAAGGUGGUGGUAAUUCUAAAGGAGGUAUUGUGGGUGGACAGGAAGGACAAGCAAGUGGGAGUGGGAAAAGUGUUUGCGACCAAUUUAUUUUGGAUGUUGUGAUUAAUGAAUUGUUAAUUUGUGAUCAGUAAAUAAUACGACCCAAUGUAUGACCA
rnacentral:lncRNA from 1 species